UCUCACUCAUUCACUCACUCACUCACUCACUCACUGUAUAGCCCUGGCUGUCAUGGAACUCACUCUGUGGACCAUGCCUAUAUUUUAAGCUGCCAGGCUUUUGUCUCAGGUCAGGAGGGUGAGGAAGAAGCUGGCCAUCUUUCAUGUUUACCAUCUUUAUUUCCUAGUCAUGGCCCCUUUCCCUGUCUACCUACAAGAGAAUUUGUUUAACACCUAGUCCUUCUCAGGGAUGUGUGUGUGUGUGUGUGUGUGUGUGUGUGUGUGUGUGUGUGUGUGUGUGUGUUUAUGCAGGAACAAUUGUCAAUGAGAAGAGAUUCUUUGAUUGUUGAGAUGCCAACAAGUAGCCUAGACACCUCCAGAAAUACAGCUUUCAUGAGUUCAUGAGACAUCACCCAUUCCAUGUAUAAUGGGCUCCUCUCUCAGACUCCUCCUGUGUGCCUCCUACUCCUUCUCAAAGUCAUAGUCUCUUAUUCUUUAAUUAUUAUUACAUGUAAAUGGAGUUCUUAAUUGGUCUAAAUAGUGGAAACUUUGAGUCAAACAUAGAGUAAAAUGUUGAGAGAUCAGAGAGAAGAAGGAGCAAGCCACAGCUCCUAGCAACACUAAUUAUAUCAGAGAGGAAGAUGGGAGUUAAAAAAAACUCGUUAUGGAGAUUGCCUUCAACAUGACAGGGAUAGCCAUUUUGGACAAGAAACUGCUCUUGCCUGGACUGCUUGAAAGCAUGUUGUCUAAACUGGACAAGCAAGUUACAAAGGAAAGUGACUGAUGAACUUCUAAGGGACAGGAUGGUCCUUCAAGGUUCCUGCUUCAUUAAAAAACCUGCCAGACAUGCUGGGCUUGUAGGCUGAAGACGAUGUCCUAAUGUUACAGAGGAAUUUUGGGUGACUGUCCAGGUAGUAAAAUGUCUCUGCAAAUUCUAGAAUUUGUAUAUUAUCCUUCUGGGGUCUUUGAUGGAGUUGAAGACAGAUAGAUAUGGUUAUGGUUUCCCUCAGUUAUGAUAAAAGAUAAGUUACAUAUAAAACUUUAGACUUAAAGAUAAGAUAGAUAAAAUAUUUUCUUUAAAUUUUGCCAAAUGUAAAUGGACUAUUGUAAUUAUAAUUCUUGCUUGAUAACUUUUUGUUAUAUAUAGUUUUAUUAUGUUAAUGUUAAAACCUUUUUAUUUAGACAAAAAAAGAGGAGAUGAUGAGUGAUGUCCUUCUGUAUUCUGUGAAUAUAUGUUUCUCUUAUUAAUUGAUAAAUAAAGCUGUUUUGGUCAAUGGACAGGAAGGAUUUAGCCACGUGGGAAAUCCAAACAGAGAUAGAGAAAGGUAGCAGGCAGAGUCAAGGAGAUACUGUGUAGCUGCCAAGGAAGCAAGAGUAAACCAAUAAACCAAGAUCACAUGGAGAUACACAUAUUAAUAGAAAUGGGUUAAUAAGGUUGAGUCAGGGGAAGAAUAGAAGAUAACAAGAAUGGAGAUACCAUAAUAGAGGGAGACAUUUUAGGUUUACAGAGAAAUCAGGCACUAGGGAAAUGUCUGGAGAUCUAUAAAGAUGACACCAGCUAACAAUCUAAGCAACAGAGGAGAGGCUACCUUAAAUGCCCUCCCCUGAUAAUGAGAUUGAUGACUGACUUAUAUGUCACCCAAUAGCCCUCAUCCAGCAGCUGGUGGAAGUAGAAGCAGACACCCACAACUAAUCACUGAACUGAACUGAAAUCCAGAUGCAGAGAAGGACGAGUGAAGAGCAAAGGGGUCCAGACCAAGCUGGUGAAACCCACAGAAACAACUAAUCUGAACAUCGGGAAACUCUUGCUCCCAAGACUGAUAGCUGGGAUACCAGCAUGGGACUGAUCCAGACCCCAGGAACAUGGGUUUCUGUGAGGAAACCUCAGAAAUCUACAGGACCUCCUGUAGUAGUUCAGUACUUAUCCCUAGCAUAGGUGUGGACUUUGGGAGCCCAUUCCACAUAGAGGAAUACUCACUGAGCCAAGACACACGGGGGUGGGCCUAGGCCCUGUCCCAAAGGAUAUGAUAGACUCUGAUGACAACCUAUGGAAGGCCUCACCAUCCAGGGGGAACAGAAAGGAUAUGUGAUAGGUAGGGUUUUAGGAACUGGGAUUGUCAUGUAAAACAAUCUUGUUUCUAAUCCAAAUUUUAAAAAUCUUAAAGAAAAAAAGGAAAUUGGUUAAUAAUUAAGAGAGAGGUAGCCAAUAAGAAGCCUGAGCCAUUGGCCAAACAGUUUAUAAUUAAUAUAGCCCCUGUGUGUUUAUUUAGGACUAAACAGCUGCAGGACUGGGAGAUAUAGAAACUUCUGACUACAAUUACAUAUAUUUUUAAUAUAAUUUGCUAAAUUUGUUUCCUGUUGCUCAUAUGGAUAAGUGAUUAGGGAUGACUGUUUGGGAUUGGAUAAUCUUUCAGGGUUCUCAUCCCUAAAGAAGAUGAAUUUCCCCUCUCUCAGCAAUCAAUGAUUUGCGGCUAUUAAUCCUGAGGUGGGGCCAUGUGAGGGAAGAAAUGGUGUGAAUACCCUACUCAUGUAAGAAACCUCUAAAUAAAUAAACAAAUAAUGUUUCAAAGCACUGCUGUUACUGUGAAAAAUGACAAAAGGCUAAUUCUUUUCCUGUAAGAUAGGGAUCCAAGAACAGAACAUCUUUCCCAACACCUACUCAGUCCCAAAAU
rnacentral:lncRNA from 1 species